GACGAACGCUGGCGGCGUGCCUAAUACAUGCAAGUAGAACGCUGAAGGAGGAGCUUGCUUCUCUGGAUGAGUUGCGAACGGGUGAGUAACGCGUAGGUAACCUGCCUGGUAGCGGGGGAUAACUAUUGGAGACGAUAGCUAAUACCGCAUAAGAGUAGAUGUUGCAUGACAUUUGCUUAAAAGGUGCAAUUGCAUCACUACCAGAUGGACCUGCGUUGUAUUAGCUAGUUGGUGGGGUAACGGCUCACCAAGGCGACGAUACAUAGCCGACCUGAGAGGGUGAUCGGCCACACUGGGACUGAGACACGGCCCAGACUCCUACGGGAGGCAGCAGUAGGGAAUCUUCGGCAAUGGACGGAAGUCUGACCGAGCAACGCCGCGUGAGGGAAGAAGGGUUUCGGAUCGUAAAGCUCUGUUGUAAGAGAAGAACGAGUGUGAGAGUGGAAAGUUCACACUGUGACGGUAUCUUACCAGAAAGGGACGGCUAACUACGUG
rnacentral:rRNA from 1 species